rnacentral:lncRNA from 1 species
GGAUCAUUGAUGAGACCUUAGUUCCUUUGUUUUUGCAAUGGUUCUACUGUUAUCACAAUAAAAUGGCAUGUGAUCAACAAUAUUAGGAACUACUCCAAGUUUCUUUAUGAAUAUCAUGAUCCAGAUUGCUACUGUUUGCUACUUCUGAAGUAAUCAUGUAUUAGGUUUCUACUAUUGAAUCAACGGUUGCUUCACAUUCGGAACAUUUCCAAUACACAGUUUAAGAGUAAACCAAUUUCUCCAUAUAAAAUUUUCUCAAUAUUUUAUAUAGAUUGGGACGAGUCAAGCAACCUUCUAGAUCUAUCUCUAUAGGUUAAGUUGUUUCUCCCAAAUCAUUCAAGAAUAAAUCCUUUAAAAACCAUUAUUUCAAUGAUUGAAACAUAAGGAUGUCGUUUUCUAUGAUAUUAGGAGUACGACAAUGCUCCCACUAUCUUCUUGUAAACACACAAUUCGUCUUCAAAUUUGAUAAAAUCAAACACUUUGACUUUUCCAUCAAAUCAAAGAUUUCGACUCCAUAGAGAUUUAUCAUAACCUUUAGUUACGCUAUGCAACUGUUGCAAAUAAAACCUGAAUGGAUUUCAGCAAGGCCACAGGAGAAAGGUUUUACCAAGGUCAACACUUAACCUUUGCUUCUAGCCUUGCUUUGUAUAUAUGGAUAUUCACAUCCACAUCGACCUUUCCCUUGUAAACUAUUUACAAAACCUUAUGGGUUUUAUUCCAUCAGAGGCUCGACCAAGGUCCAAACCUUGUUCACAUACGCCGAGUUCAUCUCGAGUAUCAUGGUAUCUUGUUGUCUCUUUUAAGUCAACACUUGACUUUAUUUUGUUACAACUAGCAGGUUCAUUAUCCUGGAUCACUAAUACCUGAUUAAUGAUCAUGGAUUCGCACCUUCUUGAAGGUCGAAUGAUCCUACUAGAUUCACAUAGAGCUGUCAUGUCCUCAGGAGUCUUUACUUCCUGAUCCAAAGUAUGUCCCAUAUCAGAUAUGGGAUCAAACUCAGGUUUAUCUAAUUGGUUAACUAUAUCUGUGGACUCUUGAACUCUUUCAAGUUCUAUUUUGCUCCCACUGUCCUCCCCUAGAGUAAACACUUUCUCUAAGAAGAUGAUAUGUUGUGAGACGAAGACUUUUUUCAUGAUAAUAGAAUUUAUAUUCAAAUAUCUCCUUUGAAUAUCCCCACAAAUACGUAUUUAUCAGAUUUAGUGUCAAAUUUAUCUGAUUCAAAGCGCUUCAAAUAAGUGUCAUGGUCCCAAGCUUUUAUAUAAGAUAAAUUGAGACUAUUGCUUUUUCAUAACUCGUAUGAAGUCUGUUAACCAAUUUAGAUGGGACAUGAUUUAGUGUGUUGCACACUGCAAUCAAUGCAUGACUCCAAAACAAUUUUGGGAGAUUUGAAUGACUUGUUA